UUGACGUUGUUCGAUCAGGCUACUAC
rnacentral:piRNA from 1 species